rnacentral:rRNA from 1 species
UACAGAGGGUGCGAGCGUUAAUCGGAAUUACUGGCGUAAAGCGCGCGUAGGCGGCUUUUCAAGCCGAUUGUGAAAUCCCCGGGCUUAACCUGGGAACUGCAGUCGGGACUGUCUAGCUAGAGUAUGGGAGAGGGAAGUGGAAUUUCAGGUGUAGCGGUGAAAUGCGUAGAUAUCUGAAGGAACAUCAGUGGCGAAAGCGACUUCCUGGACCAAUACUGACGCUCAUGUGCGAAAGCGUGGGGAGCAAACAGGG